UUUGGCUGGCAGUCAUUUAAGGCUAAAAUGUAUCUCUGAGUUGAAGGUGAAUGUAUCGAGCAAGUCCAGAUUAUGCUUUUGCUCAGCUUUCAUCUGUCUUUCUAAUUCUUGCUUGUUUCUAAGGGUGAGUUCAGUGGACAGUGAGGAAGCUUGGUAGCACUGUUUCCUCCUCCUUUAGGAUGGAGAUGAAGGUUUGAACUCAGUGGCUUUGUUUGCCUGCUAUGUGGUAGUAAGAUGUGACGGGCUUUACAAGAGGCACUGGCACAUAGUCAGCAGUCUUUCUGAAUCAUGAGUCUGACAUGCUGGCAGGAAAGGAAGAGAAUACAUAUCUAGCUCAGAAGCAGCAAGAUGAGCAUGUUUUGGUGCCUUAUGUUACACAGCCACAACUGUAUUUAAAGCACUGAGACAACAGAGCCUGGAAGCAGCAGCAAUGAUCCACAGUGUGCGUCUGAAGUAAGCCCUGCAGAUCUCAGUGCAGGAAGAGGACUGUUACCUUCCUUUGCAAUCAUCUCAUGAAGCCUGCCCUGUUGUUGCAGUGACAGCUUUUGCCCUAUCAAGAUAGCUGGUUAUGUGAGAUGGUUAACCAAUGCUGCAGGGUAAGCCGAGCCACAGGAAAUCCAUUUCUCAUUCUCUGUAACGAGAUGUCAUCGUCAAGCUUUGAUUGUAUAUAUGCUAAUACAGGCUAAUCUUGCACCCGCUCUCCCUUCACCCUCUUAAGGCAAAGCAAAGUGUGUAUCAUCAGGCUGCAACCUGAUGGAAAGGAUGAAUGCUGCCUUUAACUAUUGAGACUCUGUUGCUGGAAGGGGAGCAGCCCUUACUGCUUUGUCUUCAGUUUGCUUUCAUAUGAGCUGCUUUGAGUGUUUUGCCACCUGUAAGGACCCACCUCAUCCAUAGAACCUAAGAUGCCAUAGAUUCCAGUGUGCUGAGGUAUGUUAGAGUUGGUUUUUUUUCUGCUUUCAAUCCAAUAUUUCAGAGCAAUAAUAGACUCUGCCAAGUGCCUGAGAAUGCCAGCACAAAGCACUUGGGUUUCUGAGUGGGAGGAUGUAUGUUAUUCUUUGCUGGAUCUACAGGAGUGCUAACCUUGAAGCCUUCAGUCACAAGGGGGAGAAGCAAAAGGCUUGAGCACUCUUCUUUGUAAAGCCAAUUCAGUUUGAGAUCAAAGAUGGGAUCGAUCUGAGGCCCAGGAACACAAGCAGUGCCCUGAGGCAGGACACGAGCUGCUGUCUGGCUCAGGGCACUUCCAGCCUUGUGGUAGCAGGUCAGAACCUCCACACACAGCCCCAGCUUGAGGCAGUGAACAGAGGGUUUGGGGGCCCAGGGGUGUUGUUUGCAAUCAUAUAUAAGCACAUCAGAACAGCCAGGGAGAGCAGUGGCUGGGGCAAGGUCUGCUGUGGGGCUGAUUGCUGCUGCUGGGGAACACACUGCAUCCAUAUUCACUCUGAGCUCAUUGCUGUGUGUGUAUUUAGACCCGCUUUCUUAAUUCAGCAAGUGAGAUGGUCUGCUGUUGAAGUUUCACCCCUUCAAUCUGCCAGGUAUGAAGCUCAUGGGAUAUUCCCUUCCCUAUGGCAGCGUGUGAACCAGCAGAGCCUUAUUCCUGAGAGCCAAUGGGGCUGUGGAAUCAGGUGAGCUGCUCAGCUGAUGGGAUGGAGAGGAGGUGACCCCCACCCCUGUGAUGUCCUCAGCUGUAUUGCAGAGAUGCAGACCAAGGGGAGGUGGUAGUUGCAGGUAUAGGAAGCAAACAGGGGGCUCUGUUCCCUGGCUAGAAGCCUAAUCCCUGCACUCUGCUGUUUGUAAAGUGCCUUGAGAUGCUCAGACAGAGGGCAUUACUGAUACGGGAAGAGCAGGCAAAUGCUAAUGGAAGAGGCUGUUAGCAGCAUGAGCUGCAGCUUGGAAAAUGUCCUCGCAGGGGAAACGUGCUUAGCCUGCACUUCUGAGCUGCACCUGGGGUUUGUGCUGUAAUUCAGCUGCUGGAGCUGCACUGUGUUGGGUGGGCAAUGCUGUUUUGCUUUGGUUUUGGCUGGCACUCCAUGUCCUUGGGGAGGAUGGAGGGCAGAUGGAUGGCUGUGGGAUGGAGCUUCCAAUAACAGGGCUGUGCAAGAGGUGAAAUGGUUCCAUGUGGCUGCACAGAAUGCCCUAAAUCAGCCCAUACCAGCAGGGCACGAUGCUUUCAAGUAUAGAUAAGGAAAGGGGAGCAAUCUGAGUGCAGCACGCAGCAAUGGAGCUGGGUGCAGGAGGGAGCAGUGCCAGGAAUGCCCCAGCAGCAGCUUGGAAAGGCUGGAGAAAUAAUGCAGCCCUUCCUAGAAAUGCACUCUGGAGCUUAAAAGCAGACCUAAUUGAAAAGGAAAAAAACACACAGAGGGGAUAAAAGGGAAAGCUGGGCUCAGAUUAACCUGGAGCUCAGCGAGCUGGGAAGCAGUGGCCAGGUCUCAAAGCCAGUUUCCAACCCAGGCCCUGUGCUGCUUGUUGAACCCAUGCCCAGCAGGGCAGCACAUCGCUCUGGAUGUGGUUCUGGCAGCAGAGCCCACCACGCUCCGCUUCUGUUCUUAAGGUACGUGUUUGCUUUCUGCUUCCCUUCCUGCUCUCUGCAACAGCAGCUCUGCUGCUUCCUGCCUCUCAACCCAGCUCUGCUGCUGUUACCCCAGAUUUGCUUUGGGAUGCUUUCUCCCUUCCCCAAAUGAACCCGGCUGCUGGCUGAACCAAAGGGAACCUAAAGGGAACCCUAUGAACAUGCACAGGGCUGUUUGCUUCCCCCAGCCUAUGGGGAGGGCUGCAGGAAGGUGUGUUUGUGCCUCUCAGGUAUCACUGCUGGAGCAGUGCUCAGCCCACAUUGCUAACCACAGUUAUUUUAGCACUCUGAUGUUGUUGUUCACCUCCCAGCUGCUGCAAUUCAGCUCUUUUCAGCUGCUUCUGUUUCAGCAACAAACACAAGUGCUGCUCCUGCUCCGGUUCAAUCCAGGGCUUUUUGUCCUCUCCAAACAGCAGCAAGAAGGGCUUCAAGAGGCAUUGAAUAACAGAGGAGACUUUGUGCAGACCAGCUUGGUGCUGCUGUGUCUGGUAAGGGACCCCCAGGGAUGUUGCAUGCACUGAGUGCCCUCUGCCUCUUGAUCUCUGCAUCUGGACAGGCAGAAAAAUGCACGACCCAUUCAUUUCAAUUGUUUUUGGGCCUCAGCCUCCGGGUGCUUCCUGAGCUCUGCUCGGUUCAAGGCUUUCCCUUGGCUCCUGCCUGCAGCCAGGAAGGUUGUGAGGAGGGAUUCCCUGGAUGUGACGCUGCCCUGGAUAUGAACCUCCUGCUUUUUCAGCUCUCUGAAAGGAGCAUCUCAGGCUUUGCCUCGUUAUUGCAGAGGAGGCGGAUGUGCAAAAACCUCCUGCGGCUGUUUUUAAUGCAGGCAAAGGCAGAGGCUGUUCACCUCAGGGUGAAAGCUGGAGCUGUCAUUCUCAGGGCAGUAAGAGACCCCCCCACCCCCUGCCUGGUCCUGCCCCUGGGCUGGUCUUUGGGUGGGCAGAUGAGACCCCAUAGGGAACACAGCCCCUUUCUGGCCACAAGAACUGGAGCAGGAGCAUCACCCCUUUAUGGGUAUGGACCUCAGCAUCAGCACCCACACACCAUGGGAUGUUUAGGAGCCCAUCCUGCCAUAGGGAUGCUUAUGUUCCAGGGGCUCCAGCUCUCAGCAUCAGGCUGGGCUGUGCAGUGGGGUGAGAGAAAAGCAUGGCUCCCCCCCCAUCACCCACCCCCAGCCUUGGCAGGGCUCUGAUGGGACUGGAAGGGGGGGAGAACAGGGAGGGACAGAUGGGAGGAGCUGGGACUUCACCGACCCGAUUAACCAGGUUAGAAACCAACCUUGCAAAACCCACAGCACGGAUGGGAACAGGGCUAGAAAUCCCCCUCUCAGCUCAUAGUGGGAGCUGGGAUGCAAGGCAACCUCAACGGGCACGGUGGCAGUGAGCAGCGCUGGAGAGCCAGGAGCAGCGGCGAGACCCCGAGAAGAGGAUGAGAACAUGGGGCUCAAGUUAUCCUGCCUGAAAGGGUUGAAGAUGUGUGUGAGCAGCGGGAAUGGCAGCAGCGGGACCCCAGAACAGGAUGGGAAACACCUCCACGUGCCCUCCAUCAUCGUCACACCACCCACACCCACAGGGACCAUGUUGUGUAGGGACACAUGGAGGGCAACAGGAGGCACGUCACCGCCCUGCAGCCAGUGCUGAGCACCCAUAGGGGACACCAAGAGCUUCAAUACAACCCCAGGGCUGGAUCCUGCCCUGCUGGGGGUGAUGCUUCCCAAUGUGCAGCUUCAUUGGAGAGCCCCGGGAGAGGACGGCGUGCAAAAGCAGAUGGAAACUUCAUUUUUUAAUGACAGCAGCAGAUGGCAAAAGACACAAAAGUGUAUUCACACCAUGUCAGAGCCAUUUAUAAAAGUGCCUGGCGGA